rnacentral:lncRNA from 1 species
CCCGCGCUAAGAUUAUGCAAAUGAGCAGGCCUCGGGUCCGGGAUCCGGGCCGAGCUGACACCCCCACCCCACUCUCGGAGCAUCCUAUUAUCCGUUGGCGCGUUCAUGCGAGCGCUCAUGCACGCGCGAGCCUUGCCGUUUCUUGUUCGGUCCGGUUGCGGACUGUACCAAGUAAACCGGACAGCGAGGGGCAAAGCCCGGAAUCCCCUGCGCGAGCCUCAUCGAUGGCCCGACCCAGAGAGCCCCCUUUCCCACUCCGCGACAGGAAUGGUCUAUCUCGUCGCGCAAGCGCCCUAGGCUCUUCACGCCCCUCGCACUCCCUCCUACCCUACUUGCAGCGCAGGCGCAGAGCCUGGGCGUGCAACCGCUGCCGCCGAGCCAGAACUGGGGCCGCCAGCGCCGGUCUUUCCUUCCCCUGUCCAGCAUCCCUCACUACGAGCCGACAUCCACAUUAGAAGACCUGUGGCCAAGGUGUGGCUGUGGAAAGCUGGCCAGGGAGGGACACUGCCCAGCUUCUGCUCUGCUCCUGUCUCCUGUCCCCUCCCCCGGCCAUGACAGAGACCCGUGAGCCAGCUGAGACGGGGGGCUACGCCAGCUUGGAAGAAGAUGAUGAGGACCUUUCUCCAGGUGAGACAGCCUUAGAGGCGGUAGUGUCGGCUUGUGUAUCAUCCUGGUUUGGGACUGGGGCUCUGCUAAGAAAUCUUGACUGCGAGUGGUUCCUUGUCUCGCUAGGUGUUCUCUUCCCAUUAGGACUCUGUGCUCUGCUAGGGGAUCCCUUCCUGCUGUGGGUUGUAGAUUGGCUGGAAUUGCUCUCCUUGUUGGGGUCACUUUCUUGGUUGGACAUUCUGGUUCGGCUGUGGUCUCUCUUCUUUCCAGGAGUUCUAGAUCGGCCGUGAUCUCUCCCCUUGCUGGAGGUUCGAGAUCGUCUGUGAUCUCUCUCCUUGCUGGAGGGUCUAGGUUGGCUGUGAUCUCUCUCCUUGCUCGGGGUUCUAGGUUGGCUGUGAUCUCUCCCCUUGCUGGAGGUUCGAGAUCGUCUGUGAUCUCUCUCUCUUCUGGGGGUUCUAGAUCGGCUGUAAUAUCUUUCCUUGCU